AUUGAACGCUGGCGGCAGGCCUAACACAUGCAAGUCGAGCGGAUGACGGGAGCUUGCUCCUUGAUUCAGCGGCGGACGGGUGAGUAAUGCCUAGGAAUCUGCCUGGUAGUGGGGGACAACGUUUCGAAAGGAACGCUAAUACCGCAUACGUCCUACGGGAGAAAGCAGGGGACCUUCGGGCGUUGCGCUAUCAGAUGAGCCUAGGUCGGAUUAGCUAGUUGGUGGGGUAAUGGCUCACCAAGACGACGAUCCGUAACUGGUCUGAGAGGAUGAUCAGUCACACUGGAACUGAGACACGGUCCAGACUCCUACGGGAGGCAGCAGUGGGGAAUAUUGGACAAUGGGCGAAAGCCUGAUCCAGCCAUGCCGCGUGUGUGAAGAAGGUCUUCGGAUUGUAAAGCACUUUAAGUUGGGAGGAAGGGCAGUAAGCGAAUACCUUGCUGUUUUGACGUUACCGACAGAAUAAGCACCGGCUAACUCUGUGCCAGCAGCCGCGGUAACAC
rnacentral:rRNA from 1 species